CAGUAGAGAAGCGUGUGAGCCAGCUGCCAAGAAAAGCCGCUAUUGUUUCAUAAGUACCCGUACCGUAAACCGACACAGGUGGAUGAGGAGAGAAUCCUAAGGCCGGCGGGAGAAGUGUUGUUAAGGAACACGGCAAAAUGACUCCGUAACUUCGGGAGAAGGAGUGCCACAGAGAUGUGGCCGCAGAGAAAUGGCCCAAGCAACUGUUUAGCAAAAACACAGGUCUAUGCAAAACCGAAAGGUGAGGUAUAUGGGCUGACGCCUGCCCGGUGCUGGAAGGUUAAGAGGAGAGGUUAGAGCAAUCGAAGCUUUGAAUUUAAGCCCCAGUAAACGGCGGCCGUAACAAUAACGGUCCUAAGGUAGCGAAAUUCCUUGUCGGGUAAGUUCCGACCCGCACGAAAGGCGUAAUGAUUUGGGCACUGUCUCAACAACACACCCGGUGAAAUUGAAAUACCAGUGAAGAUGCUGGUUACCUGCGCCAGGACGGAAAGACCCCAUGGAGCUUUACUCCAGUUUGAUACUGGGAUUCGGUACUGUCUGUACAGGAUAGGUGGGAGGCUAGGAAAUGGUGACGCCAGUUGCCAUGGAGCCAACCUUGGGAUACCACCCUUACAGUACUGGGUUUCUAACCUGCAGCCGUAACCCGGCUGGGGGACAAUGUCUGACGGGGAGUUUGACUGGGGCGGUCGCCUCCGAAAGAGUAUCGGAGGCGCUCAAAGGUUCCCUCAGAACGGUUGGAAACCGUUCGAAGAGUGCAAAGGCAGAAGGGAGCUUGACUGCGACACCGACGGGUGGAGCAGAUACGAAAGUAGGACUUAGUGAUCCGGUGGUAUAAAGUGGGAUUGCCAUCGCUCAACGGAUAAAAGCUACCCUGGGAUAACAGGCUUAUCACUCCCAAGAGUUCACAUCGACGGAGUGGUUUGGCACCUCGAUGUCGGCUCAUCGCAUCCUGGAGCUGUAGCAGGUUCCAAGGGUUGGGCUGUUCGCCCAUUAAAGCGGUACGCGAGCUGGGUUCAGAACGUCGUGAGACAGUUCGGUCCCUAUCCGGCGUGGGCGUAGGAUAUUUGAGAGGAGCUGUCCUUAGUACGAGAGGACCGGGAUGGACAAACCUCUGGUGUAUCUGUUGUUUUACCAAAGGCAUGGCAGAGUAGCCAAGUUUGGCAGGGAUAAACGCUGAAGGCAUCUAAGCGUGAAGCCCCCCUCAAGAUAAGAUAUCCCUUCUUCGGAGUAAGACCCCUUGAAGACUACAAGGUUGAUAGGCUUCAGGUGUAAGUGUGGUAACGCACUCAGCUGGGAAGUACUAAUAGGUCGAGGACUUAUCAA
rnacentral:rRNA from 1 species